rnacentral:rRNA from 1 species
AAUGAAUUAACGAGCAAAAAACUUAACAAAACGAAUUUUAGCUAAGUAACCCGAAACCAGACGAGCUACUUAUAGACAGUUUAUUAGAACCAACUCAUCUAUGUG